GAGUUUGAUCCUGGCUCAGGAUGAACGCUAGCGGCAGGCUUAACACAUGCAAGUCGAGGGGUAACGGGGAAGCUUGCUUCCGCCGACGACCGGCGCACGGGUGCGUAACGCGUAUACAAUCUACCUUAUACUGGGGUAUAGCCUUUAGAAAUGAAGAUUAACCCCCCAUAGUCUCUUAGAGUGGCAUCACUUCUAGAGUAAAGGUUACGGUAUAAGAUGAGUAUGCGUUCUAUUAGUUUGUUGGUGUGGUAACGGCACACCAAGACUACGAUAGAUAGGGGCCCUGAGAGGGGGAUCCCCCACACUGGUACUGAGACACGGACCAGACUCCUACGGGAGGCAGCAGUGAGGAAUAUUGGACAAUGGAGGCAACUCUGAUCCAGCCAUGCCGCGUGCAGGAAGACUGCCCUAUGGGUUGUAAACUGCUUUUAUACAGGAAGAAACACCUCUACGUGUAGAGGCUUGACGGUACUGUAAGAAUAAGGAUCGGCUAACUCCGUGCCAGCAGCCGCGGUAAUACGGAGGAUCCAAGCGUUAUCCGGAAUCAUUGGGUUUAAAGGGUCCGUAGGUGGAUAAUUAAGUCAGAGGUGAAAUCUUGCAGCUCAACUGUAAAAUUGCCUUUGAAACUGGUUAUCUUGAGUUAUUAUGAAGUAGUUAGAAUAUGUAGUGUAGCGGUGAAAUGCAUAGAUAUUACAUAGAAUACCAAUUGCGAAGGCAGAUUACUAAUAAUCAACUGACACUGAUGGACGAAAGCGUGGGUAGCGAACAGGAUUAGAUACCCUGGUAGUCCACGCCGUAAACGAUGGUUACUAGCUGUUUGGACUUCGGUCUGAGUGGCUAAGCGAAAGUGAUAAGUAACCCACCUGGGGAGUACGUUCGCAAGAAUGAAACUCAAAGGAAUUGACGGGGGCCCGCACAAGCGGUGGAGCAUGUGGUUUAAUUCGAUGAUACGCGAGGAACCUUACCAGGGCUUAAAUGUAGGUUGCAUUAGCUAGAGAUAGCUAUUUCUUCGGACUACUUACAAGGUGCUGCAUGGUUGUCGUCAGCUCGUGCCGUGAGGUGUCAGGUUAAGUCCUAUAACGAGCGCAACCCCUGUUGUUAGUUGCCAGCGAGUCAUGUCGGGAACUCUAGCAAGACUGCCAGUGCAAACUGUGAGGAAGGUGGGGAUGACGUCAAAUCAUCACGGCCCUUACGUCCUGGGCUACACACGUGCUACAAUGGUAGGUACAGAGAGCAGCCACUGCGCGAGCAGGAGCGAAUCUAUAAAACCUAUCACAGUUCGGAUCGGAGUCUGCAACUCGACUCCGUGAAGCUGGAAUCGCUAGUAAUCGGAUAUCAGCCAUGAUCCGGUGAAUACGUUCCCGGGCCUUGUACACACCGCCCGUCAAGCCAUGGAAGCUGGGAGUGCCUGAAGUCGGUCACCGCAAGGAGCCGCCUAGGGUAAAACUGGUAACUAGGGCUAAGUCGUAACAAGGUAGCCGUACCGGAAGGUGCGGCUG
rnacentral:rRNA from 1 species